GCGUUUUAAUCUCCUGCUAAAAACAGUAUAAAUACGGAUUCGAGAUCUCUGUUCAGACAUAACACAUCUUUUUGUGCAAUUUUAUUCUUUGGUGAGUACUCACAACUUUUAUAAUAUAUUUUACGAGAACGAAAACAAUUUAGUUUCUAUUCGGUCAAUUUUAUUAUUAUAUUUUUUUAUUCCUGUUUGUAGUCUUCACUUCGUUUCACNACAAGCCAACUUAUGGUGAGUGUAAUAACCGUUUAAUAACACUUAUUAAUUAUUCCUCAAAUACAUACAAUUUUCUGCUAAGCGAUGAUAAUUUUAAAAUCGAUAUUUUUCUCGACGAAUAUUUAAAAAAAAAAUUAAACUUUUUUCUAACGCUUAUAAUGAUUCUUUUUUUCCACUAGAAAUGCAUAUUAGUAUAGAUAUGAUUUUUUUUAUUUUAUAACACAAUGUUAAAACGCGAUGCUAUUAUAAUGUAUCGGUACUUAUAAAAAAAAAAAAAAACGAUAGCCAAAUCAUUUUCUCAUACUACACGAUACCUGAAUAUCCAAAUGUGUUGGUUAUCGAAAAAAAUUAUCAAUCUAAUACAUUUUUCAGAACGAGGAUAGUUUUAUUUAUUUUAUAUAUUUUAAAUAACAUUCUUUACACGUUUUUGGCUACACUAAAUACUAAAAUAUUUUAUAUUACUUAUAAUUAUUUAUUUUGUUUUUUUCAGUCCUGUUAAUCUCAUGUAGUCCAUACAUUGCAAACUCAAAAAUGCCAUAGUCCAAACAAUGCGUAUUAUGUGUGUAAUUAUUAAUUAAUAAUAUAUGUAAUAUGUAUUGACAUCUCAAAAUAAACCAGUCUAAUCCGUUACAUCACGUUUUUUAUUUUUUUAUUUGUUCAUAUUUG